CUUCCUUUGCUGUUGUAAGCUCUAAUGCUGAAACUUUAGAAGUAGAGCCAACGAAGCUGGCUAGAUAAUGCCCAACCUAUAUAUCAAAGCUAUUAAAUUAGCAAUUGCAAGAGAUCAAAAGGAAAGAUCCAAAGACUCCUUACUUGAUCAAGAGACCUAAGGGCAUCCGUCAUUCGCUAUUGGGCCCCUUGUUUAUCCAGGUACUAUUUUUCAGUAGAAGCAAAAAAAAAUCUCAGAAACUCUACCAUGGUCUUGAGAUUCUCUACCGCGAA
rnacentral:lncRNA from 1 species